GAUGAACGCUGACAGAGUGCUUAACACAUGCAAGUCGAUGGGGAAGUGGUGCUUGCACCAUGGCAACCAUGGCGGACGGGUGAGUAACGCGUAAGGGACUUACCUGCAGGACUGGGAUAACAGGGUGAAACUCCUGACAAGACCGGAUAAUGUCAUGGAGCUGCAUGGCUUUAUGAUGAAAGGAGACGCCUGCGGAGAGCCUUGCGUCCUAUUAGCUAGUUGGUGAGGUAAUGGCUCACCAAGGCGAAGAUAGGUAGCCGGCCUGAGAGGGUGGACGGCCAAAAGGGGACUGAGAGACGGCACUGACUACUACGGGAGGAAGCAGUGGGGAAUAUUGGACAAAGGGGGCAACCCUGAUCCAGAAAUUCUGUGUGCAAGAAGAAGGUUUUCGGAGUGUAAAGUGCUUUCAGCAGGGAAGAAGUAAGUGACGGUACCUGCAGAAGAAGCGACGGCUAAAUACGUG
rnacentral:rRNA from 1 species